AUAUACUAAAUUUACAUAUAUCAUUAUUGAAUCGCGACAUAAGAGCAGAAUCAUAUAUGACAACAUUUCUAUCAAUAAUUAAUUCGUGACCACAUUGCUACUUUUUUGAAAAUUGAGCAAGAACAUUGAUAAAAAAAUAAUUUUUAUUCUAUUUCUAUCCUCAGAGGUAUCAAAGUCCAUUUUUAUAUAGAUUCCGGUGAAACAUAAAUUACAAUACACAGUAACUAAAAAGUUAAAAUUAUAACAUUACAGAUUAACUUGUCUUGAUGAAUGAAUAAUAUUUUCUAAAUCAGGUGGAUUAUAUUAUUUAUUAAAACUGAAAUAAAAGAUCUUACAAUUAUUUAAUUCAAAAACAUAUCAUCAAAUAUUUAUUUAUCUAAUGAUAUUCUCCUUAAAAAAAAAAAACACAAAUACUACAGCACCGGCACCACCAUAGUCGUAAUAGUUUAUUUACAGUUGUCGCCGCCGUAGAAAACAAACCCACUACACCACUCUUCGCCGGAGAAUCACUCAGUCGCAAGUCAAGACAGCUGGAAUAAGACUUUGCAGUACGUGGUAUUCGGCCUCAAGUUAUGUCUGCUGACCCAGCACUUGUUGAUGAAGAUGCCUCCUCAGGCUCAGGUGAUGAUAUAAACAUGUUGGAUGGAAACAAUAAGCGUCAGACUGCAACGCCAGGUUCAGGCCGUAGAAAGAGGAGUAGGAAGGCUACUGGUGAUGUUAUAGUUGAUGCUAUGCUAGAAAUAGCAGCUGCUUCCAAAAUGAGAGCAGCUGCGAUAAUGAAGAAUGAAGAACGCUUUUCAAUAAGCAAGUGCAUUAAAGUUUUAGAUGAGAUGCAAGAUGUUGAUCAGCACCUCUACUUCUUUGCUUUGGAUUUAUUUGAAAAUCCCAACUCCAGAGAGACUUUUAUUUCUCUGAAAAGUGAAAGGCGGUUAACAUGGCUACAGACCAAAUUUAAUGCCUCUUCGAGUGCAGCAGUCUCGCAACUAUAAUGAUCUUUCCCUUUACCUGGGUUUAGGACCUUUUGUUAGAUUCUGUGAUCUUAGAUGGUCUUUGCUUAACUUUUUAUUGUAUUUUAUAGAGAUGACCUACGGUUUGUUAAGUUCUAUAAGUCCCGGCUUCGGUUCGUACUUUUGCCAUGCUUAUAAACUGAGACAAAUUUUUGCUUUAAAAUGUUACUACUAUUUGUUCAUA